AUUGAACGCUGGCGGCAUGCCUUACACAUGCAAGUCGAACGGCAGCACGGGAGCAAUCCUGGUGGCGAGUGGCGAACGGGUGAGUAAUAUAUCGGAACGUGCCCAGUCGUGGGGGAUAACGUAGCGAAAGCUACGCUAAUACCGCAUACGAUCUAUGGAUGAAAGCGGGGGAUCGCAAGACCUCGCGCGAUUGGAGCGGCCGAUAUCAGAUUAGGUAGUUGGUGGGGGUAAAAGCCUACCAAGCCUUCGAUCUGUAGCUGGUCUGAGAGGACGACCAGCCACACUGGAACUGAGACACGGUCCAGACUCCUACGGGAGGCAGCAGUGGGGAAUUUUGGACAAUAGGGCGGCAAGCCUGAUCCAGCAAUGCCGCGUGCAGGAUGAAGGCCU
rnacentral:rRNA from 1 species